GAUUUUCGUGUUGAUUGCUGAGU
rnacentral:piRNA from 1 species